UGUGCUGCGUAGGAGAAGCUGUGUGUAUGCUUAAAGGAUAUAUACUGGUGGAUGCCUCAGAAAUUGAGUAGAUUCAUUCAUUAACACAGAUGAUGCAUGAUUGCCGUUUACUUUUAUCUAAAAUAUUGGUGGGUUAAUGUUGGGUUGUAAGAUAUGACUUUUAACAGUUACACUAUGAUGAAGUGAUUUGAAUUUAUUGUGGGACUGUGAUUUUGUUUCAUUUAUUUGUCUUCGUUUUGUGUUAAUCAACCAAAGACA